AUUGAACGCUGGCGGCAGGCCUAACACAUGCAAGUCGCGCGGAGAGGCGGACGGGUGAGUAAUGCCUAGGAAUCUGCCUGGUAGUGGGGGAUAACGUCCGGAAACGGGCGCUAAUACCGCAUACUAUCAGAUGAGCCUAGGUCGGAUUAGCUGGGUGGUGGGGUAAAGGCCUACCAGGGCGACGAUCCGGAACUGGUCUGAGAGGAUGAUCAGUCACAUGGUACCUGAGAAACGGUCCAUACUCCUACGGGAGGCAGCAGUGGGGAAUAUGGGACAAUGGGCGAAAGCCUGAUCCAGCCAUGCCGCGUGUGUGAAGAAGGUCGUCGGAUUGUAAAGCUCUUUAAGUUGGGAGGCGUUACCAACAGAAUAAGCACCGGCUAACUUCGUGCCAGCAGCCGCGGUAAUAC
rnacentral:rRNA from 1 species